CUUUCCCACACCACUUGGCAGCCUGCAGACUGGUCUUCAUCCAAGUGCCAAAGGAGAACCCACAGUGCAAGCCAGGAAGACCAUGACAAUCAUCUGUGCUCUUCUCUCUGUGCCUAACAUUGUCAUCUCCCAUAUGCACCACUGGCCCACCUUUGAGAAAGAAUUCAAACUCCACUUCCUGGCCAGGCUGGUCUCGAACUCCUGACCUCAAACCCCACUUUCUUCAUGAGGCUUGCUAUGACCCCACCACACCCACCAGGCCAGACCACCAUCACCUCUCACUGGACCCUGCUACGACCACCUCCCUGAUCUUUCUGCCCUUGGGCUCGCUCCAUGGAGCCCCUUCUCCACACAGCAGCAGCCAGAGGCAGUUUCUGGAGCCCACAGCUGAAUGCGUUGUUCUCCUUGCUCAGGCAGAGAAGAGGACAGAUGGGGUUUUGGUCUCCUGUGUGUAGCCAGAGGGACUGCCUUGUCCUUCGCCAUCUCCAGUAGUUCCUGAGACCACAGCUGCUGAUGGCAAAUGCCCCCAGUCCCAGCCAUGCCCCAGCCCCCUGCAUUGAGAGACCCAGCUCCACCCAGAGGGCAGCUGCAGCCUCCUUCAUCCACAGCCACUGCUGUGACCAAGAGGGACAUUGUCCUGGAAGGCCAGUGGAGCCUUUCUGAGGCCUUCACAGGCCCAAUGUCCACCCUGGUCAUGACACGUAUAAUAACACAGCUCUUGCAUUAAAUACUAUUUACUGCAGCAGAAUUUUUUUUUAAGUUUGUUAUAAUUUUGAAUUUUGUGAAGAGUAAAUUAUUCAUUUUGUUUUUUAACUUGAAUUUAUUCAUUAUACCUAAGUAAGAAUUGAUCUGGGCUAUGCUUGGCUAGUUGGUAUAAUACCACAUCUGUAGACAUUUAAUUAAACAUGUAUUAAUUUUAA